AAAAACAUGUCUUUUUGAUUAUAAUUUAAAGUCUGACCUGCCCAAUGAUUAUUUUAAAUGGCUGCAGUAUUUUGACUGUACAAAGGUAGCAUAAUCAUUAGUUUUUUAAUUGAAAGCUGGAAUGAACGGUUUGAUGAAAAAUUAACUGUCUCUUUUUAAAUGAAUUAGAAUUUUAUUUUUAAGUGAAAAAGCUUAAAUUUUUUAUGAAGACGAGAAGACCCUAUAGAGUUUUAUAUUUUUGUAAUUUUUAAUUUUAUGGUUUUAUUUUUAAUUAUUAUUAUAAAUAUUUUGUUGGGGUGAUGGAAAAAUUUAAUUAACUUUUUUUAAUUUUUACACUAAUUAGUGAGUUUAUGAUCCUUUUUAGAUUAAAAGAUUAAAUUACCUUAGGGAUAACAGCGUAAUUUUUUUUGAAAGUUCUUAUUGAUAAAAAAGUUUGCGACCUCGAUGUUGGAUUAAAAUUUGUUUUUGGUGUAGAAGCUUUAAAACUAGGUCUGUUCGACCUUUAAA
rnacentral:rRNA from 2 species